GGCCGGUUGGCUCAGUCAGUCGAGCGUAGCGCUAACAACACUAACAACGCCGAGGUCGCGGGUUCGAUUCCCGCUCGGUCC
rnacentral:tRNA from 1 species